rnacentral:sRNA from 1 species
UAAGACUGGAGAAGAUUGGGCCAAGAUAUCUCUCAUUCCUUUAAUAAAGAUAGAUGACGAAGUGCAUAUCAUAUGAUCUCUACUUCACAUAAAGUUUUAGCUUUUAUUUCACUCUCGAAUCCACAUCAGCGGCAUCAUGUAGAGCAGAGAUGUGAAAAGAAAACACUUCCAGUUGACAUUUACAGUGAAUAAAUAUGAAGGGAAACAUGCUCUUUGCAAUUUGAUGUGAAAUCCAAGUUUAAGGAAAAGCAUCAAGGUCUUUGCCUCUAACUUCGGAAGGACUCUGAAUGCAUUAAGCAAUUGGGAGACAGUAACCCCGUUGAAGAUUCAAACAUUAAAGAAACUGAUAGGAAACUGGACUGCGAAGUGCAAUGGUUUGCCUUUAAUUGCACGAGCACUAGGGGGUCUCUUACGGGGCACAAUUUCUGGCUUUGAGGAAUGGCAUCACAUAUUAAAUAGCAAUACUUGGGAGCUACCCUCAAUUGCUCGCAUACUCCCAAUUUGUUUACUACAACAAUUAAGGCAGAAGCGCAGAGAAUCACAUUAAGUACGCCACUCUGCUAGGACAGAGGGAUACUCAGCAGAGUGGCUCUUUCUAGUCAGUAGCCUUCGCAUGGAAU